rnacentral:rRNA from 1 species
AUUGAACGCUGGCGGCAUGCCUAACACAUGCAAGUCGAGCGGAUGAAGGGAGCUUGCUCCUGGAUUCAGCGGCGGACGGGUGAGUAAUGCCUAGGAAUCUGCCUGGUAUUGGGGGAUAACGUCCGGAAACGGGCGCUAAUACCGCAUACGUCCUGAGGGAGAAAGUGGGGGAUCUUCGGACCUCACGGUAUCUGCUGACCCUAGGUCGGAUUAGCUAGUUGGUGGGGUAAAGGCCUACCAAGGCGACGAUCCGUAACUGAUCUGAGAGGAUGAUCAGUCACACUGGAACUGAGACACGGUCCAGACUCCUACGGGAGGCAGCAGUGGGGAAUAUUGGACAAUGGGCGAAAGCCUGAUCCAGCCAUGCCGCGUGUGUGAAGAAGGUCUUCGGAUUGUAAAGCACUUUAAGUUGGGAGGAAGGGCAGUAAGUUAAUACCUUGCUGUUUUGACGUUACCAACAGAAUAAGCACCGGCUAACUUCGUG